AUCUUACUUCAGGGUCAGGUGAAAUUCCUUCUCGGUGGUAAACCCCACGAGCACAAAAGUGCUGAACUAGUUAAAUUCUAGUGGCGACAGUAUAGGCUGGAUAAAAGAAGUAAUCC
rnacentral:ncRNA from 2 species